rnacentral:rRNA from 1 species
GACGAACGCUGGCGGCGCGCCUAACACAUGCAAGUCGAACGGUGAAGAGGAGCUUGCUCCUCGGAACAGUGGCGGACGGGUGAGUAACACGUGAGCAACCUGGCUCUAAGAGGGGGACAACAGUUGGAAACGACUGCUAAUACCGCAUGACGUAUCGGGAUGGCAUCUUCCUGAUACCAAAGAUUUUAUCGCUUAGAGAUGGGCUCGCGUCUGAUUAGAUAGUUGGCGGGGUAACGGCCCACCAAGUCGACGAUCAGUAGCCGGACUGAGGGGUUGAACGGCCACAUUGGGACUGAGACACGGCCCAGACUCCUACGGGAGGCAGCAGUGGGGGAUAUUGGACAAUGGGGGCAACCCUGAUCCAGCGACGCCGCGUGAGGGAAGAAGGUUUUCGGAUUGUAAACCUCUGUUGACGGAGAAAAAAAUGAUGGUAUCCGUUUAGAAAGCCACGGCUAACUACGUG